rnacentral:lncRNA from 1 species
UUUUCGGUCAUGUUUGACAGGUGUCUUACUCGUGGCAUCAUUGUAAUAAUGGCAGCUACAGCUCUUCCUGUCUCCUGAAAUUAUGCAAUCCUUGUGGGGAUGUCCAGCUGAAAGUUGAAACUGAGAAGAAGUGGCAUCUUCUCAGCUUUUAUUGCUGCUAAACACAUGAUGUUCAGCUAUUGUGUGUGCCAGAGGAGAGCAGCACUCCUGAGAACAGAUUUUUUUGACAGAACUGUGACAGCUGGGGAGAAGAAAGGGAAUGAAGAGAACAGCAGCUUGAAGGCUAUGAUCUGUCAAGCCACUUGAGUUGUC